CGCCUCUUGCUAACAAAGGAAGUACUAGAGGUCCCGCCUGCCCUGUGACCACAAAGUUUAACGGCCGCGGUAUCCUGACCGUGCGAAGGUAGCGUAAUCAUUUGUCUUUUAAAUAGAGACCUGUAUGAAUGGCAUAACGAGGGUUUAACUGUCUCCUUCCCCCAGUCAAUGAAAUUGAUCUGCCCGUGCAGAAGCGGACAUAAAUACAUAAGACGAGAAGACCCUAUGGAGCUUUAGACAAAAGAUCAAACAUGUAAAGAAACCAAAACAACCAAAAGGAACACGAAGGCCACAAAACCCAACGUAAACUGAUCUAAAUGUCUUCGRUUGGGGCGACCAUGGGGGAAAGAAAAGCCCCCACGAGGAACAGGGACAACCCCUAAACUAAGAGGGACACCUCUAAGCAACAGAAAAUC
rnacentral:rRNA from 1 species